rnacentral:rRNA from 1 species
UACGUAGGCAGCAAGCGUUGUUCGGAAUUACUGGGCGUAAAGAGUGUGUAGGCGGUGUUCUAAGUUUGUCGUGAAAUCUCCCGGCUUAACUGGGAGGGUGCGGCGAAAACUGGAAUGCUAGAGGAUGGGAGAGGUAAGCGGAAUUCCUGGUGUAGCGGUGAAAUGCGUAGAUAUCAGGAGGAACACCGGUGGCGAAGGCGGUUCUCUGGGCCUGUACUGACGCUGAGGAACGAAAGCGUGGGGAGCGAACAGG